AAACUUUCAACAACGGAUCUCUUGGUUCUCGCAUCGAUGAAGAACGCAGCGAAACGCGAUAGUUAAUGUGAAUUGCAGAAUUCAGUGAAUCAUCGAGUCUUUGAACGCACAUUGCGCCCGUUGGUAUUCCGACGGGCACGUCUGUCUGAGCGUCAUG
rnacentral:rRNA from 1 species